CUGCCUUCUGGUUGUGUUCAACACCAGAGCAGCUACAGCAGGAAGACAUGCAAAUAGGGCUUCUCUGUGCCCUUGAAAACCAGCCCUGCCCUGACCCUGCAGACCUGGAAGAGGAGCCCAGGCCUGGAUUCCCAGGUCUUCACACUCAGUGAUUACCACUGUCCACAGACCAUUCACCAUGGACUUGGGGAUCAGCUGGAUUUUCCUUGUCUUUCUUUUAAAAGGUGUCCAGUGUGAUGUGCAGCUUGUGGAGUCGGGAGGAGGCUUGGUGCAGCCUGGAAAGUCCCUGCAACUCUCCUGUGCAGCCUCUGGAUUCACCUUCAGUGACUAUGGCAUGCACUGGGUCCGCCAGGCUCCAGGGAAGGGGCUGGAGUGGGUUGCCGCUAUUAGUAGCAGUGGAGGUACAACCUACUAUGCCGACGCCGUGAAGGGCCGAUUCACCAUCUCCAGAGACAAUGCCAAGAACUCCCUGUACCUGCAAAUGAACAGUCUGAAGUCUGAGGACACGGCCACAUAUUACUGUGCAAGAGACACAGUGAGUGAAUAUAACUGA